UGAAUACGAGACGCUAAGGCGUCGAAGUAGUGUAUGUCAUACUUCCAAGAAAAGCUUGCACUGUCAUAGAUAAAAAACGCCUGUACCAUAACCGACACAGGUGGGUAGGUAGAGUAUACUAAGGGGCGCGAGAUAACUCUCUCUAAGGAACUCGGCAAAAUAACUCCGUAACUUCGGGAGAAGGAGUGCCUUAUUCGUAAGGUUGCAAUAACAAGAUCCAAGCAACUGUUUAUCAAAAACACAGGUCUCCGCUAAGUCGUAAGACGAUGUAUGGGGGCUGACGCCUGCCCAGUGCCAGAAGGUUAAAGAAGUUGGUUAGCAAUUGCGAAGCUGAUAACUGAAGCCCUGGUGAACGGCGGCCGUAACUAUAACGGUCCUAAGGUAGCGAAAUUCCUUGUCGGGUAAGUUCCGACCCGCACGAAAGGCGUAAUGAUUUGGAUACUGUCUCGGAGAGGGGCUCGGUGAAAUAGACUUGUCUGUGAAGAUGCGGACUACCUGCACCAGGACAGAAAGACCCUAUGAAGCUUUACUGUAACUUGAAAUUGAAAUUGGACUUUAUUCGCGCAGUAUAGGUGGGAGGCGUUGAUUAUAAUCUUGUGGGAUUAUUGGAGCCAUCAGUGAGAUACCACUCUUGUAAUGUUAGAUUUCUAACUUUGAAUCAUUAUCUGGUCAAAGAACAGUUUCAGGCGGGCAGUUUGACUGGGGCGGUCGCCUCCUAAACGGUAACGGAGGCGUACAAAGGUUUCCUCUGAACGGUUAGAAAUCGUAUCUAGAGUGUAAAGGCAUAAGGAAGCUUGACUGUGAGACCUACAAGUCGAGCAGGGACGAAAGUCGGUCUUAGUGAUCUGACGGUACUGAGUGGAAAGGCCGUCACUCAACGGAUAAAAGUUACUCUAGGAUAACAGGCUGAUCUCCCCCAAGAGUUCACAUCGACGGGGAGGUUUGGCACCUCGAUGUCGGCUCAUCGCAUCCUGGGGCGGUAGUACGUCCCAAGGGUUGGGCUGUUCGCCCAUGAAAGCGGUACGCGAGCUGGGUUCAGAACGUCGUGAGACAGUUCGGUCCAUAUCCGGUGUAGGCGUUAGAAUAUUGAGAGGAGCCUUCUUUAGUACGAGAGGACCGAGAAGGACAUACCUCUGGUGUACCAGUUAUCGUGCCAACGGUAAACGCUGGGUAGCUAUGUAUGGAGUGGAUAACCGCUGAAAGCAUCUAAGUGGGAAGCCCACCUCAAGAUAAGUAUUC
rnacentral:rRNA from 1 species